rnacentral:tRNA from 1 species
GCCUGGGUGGCUCAGUUGGUUGAGCGUCUGACUUUGGCUCAGAUCAUGAACUUACUGUUGGUGAGUUCAGGCC